rnacentral:rRNA from 1 species
AUGUGCAGCGCCAUGUACGUCUUGGCGAACCGCAGAGAGAAGCGGCGGUUCUUGGAGAUGAGCGGCGGCGACGACAUGGUGAAGUUCUGGCCUAGGACGAGCGUGUCCGAUGGGUUUUCAAAGCUACGCCAAGGCGUACCGCGGCCGUUGAAGAGCCGGAUGACGAGGUCGGACGAGUUGAGGAGCGCGACCGUAUCGCCGACGACGUUGAGGGUGCUCCAGAGCUCGCCGACCUCGGGGACAGUGAGGAUCAGGCGGUUGUCGAAGGAGAGCGUAGCCGGGCGCGACCAGUCCGCGAGACGGGCCGGCGUGGCACACCAGAGCGGGAAGGACGAAGGGAGGUGA